AGUGAACGCUGGCGGUAGGCCUAACACAUGCAAGUCGAACGGCAGCACAGUAAGAGCUUGCUCUUACGGGUGGCGAGUGGCGGACGGGUGAGGAAUACAUCGGAAUCUACUUUUUCGUGGGGGAUAACGUAGGGAAACUUACGCUAAUACCGCAUACGACCUACGGGUGAAAGCAGGGGAUCUUCGGACCUUGCGCGAUUGAAUGAGCCGAUGUCGGAUUAGCUAGUUGGCGGGGUAAAGGCCCACCAAGGCGACGAUCCGUAGCUGGUCUGAGAGGAUGAUCAGCCACACUGGAACUGAGACACGGUCCAGACUCCUACGGGAGGCAGCAGUGGGGAAUAUUGGACAAUGGGCGCAAGCCUGAUCCAGCCAUACCGCGUGGGUGAAGAAGGCCUUCGGGUUGUAAAGCCCUUUUGUUGGGAAAGAAAAGCAGCAGGUUAAUACCCCGCUGUUCUGACGGUACCCAAAGAAUAAGCACCGGCUAAGUUCGUG
rnacentral:rRNA from 1 species